rnacentral:tRNA from 1 species
AAAGAGAUAUAUAAAGAAAUAGCUGCUAACUAAUUUCUAAGCGAAAUACACGUUUAUCUCUUA